UUGUCCUACGGGAGGCAGCAGUGAGGAAUAUUGGUCAAUGGGCGGGAGCCUGAACCAGCCAAGUCGCGUGAAGGAAGAAGGUACUUAGUAUUGUAAACUUCUUUUGUCGGGGAACAAAGGCGGAGACGCGUCUCCGGAUGAGUGUACCCGAAGAAAAAGCAUCGGCUAACUCCGUGCCAGCAGCCGCGGUAAUACGGAGGAUGCGAGCGUUAUCCGGAUUUAUUGGGUUUAAAGGGUGCGUAGGCGGAUUUUUAAGUCAGCGGUAAAAUGUCCGGGCUCAACCCGGGCCGGCCGUUGAAACUGGG
rnacentral:rRNA from 1 species